GACGAACGCUGGCGGCGUGCUUAACACAUGCAAGUCGAACGGAAAGGCCCUGCUUUUGUGGGUUUCUCGAGUGGCGAACGGGUGAGUAACACGUGAGUAACCUGCCCUUGACUUUGGGAUAACUUCAGGAAACUGGGGCUAAUACCGGAUAGGAGCUCCUGCUGCAUGGUGGGGGUUGGAAAGUUUCGGCGGUUGGGGAUGGACUCGCGGCUUAUCAGCUUGUUGGUGGGGUAGUGGCUUACCAAGGCUUUGACGGGUAGCCGGCCUGAGAGGGUGACCGGCCACCUUGGGACUGAGAUAGGGAGCAGACUCCUACGGGAGGCAGCAGUGGGGAAUAUUGCACAAUGGGCGGAAGCCUGAUGCAGCAACGCCGCGUGCGGGAUGACGGCCUUCGGGUUGUAAACCGCUUUCGACUGUGACGAAGAGUGAGUGACGGUAAUGGGUAAAGAAGCACCGGCUAACUACGUG
rnacentral:rRNA from 1 species